rnacentral:rRNA from 1 species
CCUACGGGAGGCAGCAGUGGGGAAUAUUGCACAAUGGGCGAAAGCCUGAUGCAGCGACGCCGCGUGAGGGAUGACGGCCUUCGGGUUGUAAACCUCUUUCAGCAGGGAAGAAGCGAAAGUGACGGUACCUGCAGAAGAAGCACCGGCUAACUACGUGCCAGCAGCCGCGGUAAUACGUAGGGUGCGAGCGUUGUCCGGAAUUAUUGGGCGUAAAGAGCUUGUAGGCGGUUUGUCGCGUCUGCCGUGAAAAUUCGAGGCUCAACCUCGAACUUGCGGUGGGUACGGGCAGACUAGAGUGUGGUAGGGGAGACUGGAAUUCCUGGUGUAGCGGUGAAAUGCGCAGAUAUCAGGAGGAACACCGAUGGCGAAGGCAGGUCUCUGGGCCACUACUGACGCUGAGAAGCGAAAGCAUGGGGAGCGAACAGGAUUAGAUACCCUGGUAGUCCAUGCCGUAAACGUUGGGAACUAGGUGUGGGUCUCAUUCCACGAGAUCCGUGCCGCAGCUAACGCAUUAAGUUCCCCGCCUGGGGAGUACGGCCGCAAGGCUAAAACUUAAGGAAUUGACGG